rnacentral:lncRNA from 1 species
AAAAAUGUAACAAAUUGCAAACUAAGAAGAAUACUACCAAUUACUGGGUAAUAAACUCUUAGGGGACCUGAAACAUCUAUCUAGGUAAGAUCUAGAAAGAAGCGGUCAAUCAAGAUUCAACCCUAUGAGGAUAUAACUCAAUGGGAGCAGUUCCAUCCAGAUAAUCAACUAGGGAGGAAGCUGAAACAAAAAUCAUCCACGAGGAAAUAACUCAGUGGGGAAGGGAGAAAGAUUAAAGUCUUUCUGCUUAGGGGGCUGACACUCUACGUUUGAAGGAGGAC